rnacentral:lncRNA from 1 species
UUGUUUCACUUGUAUGUUAUGUGGCCACCUUUGCCUUCAAUGGACUGCUUUUCCACUUUUUCACUCCAUCUGGACAUGACUGUGGGCUUAACACUUUCUUUAUAGUGAUGACCCUUAUAGUCAUCUUCAUCUUUGCUGUUGUUACACUGCAUCCAUCGGUAAUUUUUCUAUCUUUAAUUCCUUUAUUGCUGCAGAAUACUUCCUUUACUUGUGAACUUUUCCAUGAGUUCUAAAUUUUGCAGGCUAACAAGAUCUUAUAUAAAUGUUCAUCUGCUUUUCUCAUCUGAUGCCACUAUUCGUACUGAUUUCCAUAGUUUAAAUGUGGCCUUACUAGAAAAAGCAGAUCUCUUUCUGUAGUUGAGUUUACUGCAAAUCAUGGAAGCUAAAAAGCUUGGGUUUUAUGUUAGCAUAUGCUGCAUUAUCUCUCUCCAUGUUAGCAUUUUCUUCGGUGCAUCUUCAAGGAGUCUUGUCAUAAAAAAUUUUACACUCUCUUUAAAUCUUCUGAAAAUUUUAUUUCGUAGUAGUUUGAAGGAAAAUAGUGUGGUUUAUUUCUAGUGUCAAUGAGAAGGAAGACUUUAAAUUCAAAUAAGCUGGCAUCUCAUGUGUUUCUUUCAAGAUCUCAGAACUUAAAAAGUUAUUUGUUGAAAUAUGUGAAAAGUUGGCAUGCCGUGUUUGUUUGUCUGGUUGUUUGAGGAUAUUAAUCUUGGUUCUACAUCCUUAGAGCAGCUUAUUUAAUCCAAAGCUGCAGAGAAUAUUUUUUUAAAGUAUUCAUCUUGGCCCUAAAUCUUUAGAGCAGUUUAUUUAAUCCCAAGCUGGAGAAGUAUCUCGAACUAGCGAGCCUGUCAGCUUUUUGAUUUCCUUUUCAUGGAAGGCCCCCCAUGAUUGUUUUGUAAGAUUACGACAAAAACACUAGGUGAUUUGUUCCCAUCUAUCUACCUAAGCGUUGGUGGGUAGAGUUACCACCUGGUACAUGUGCUUGUGUAAAGUAGCAAGUACCUGGUGGAAUAGUUGAAGUGCAUGUUUGCUGGUCACGUCAUAAAAACAUACCAAAUGUUUUGUAUGAAAACCACUUCAAUUUUUGUGAAUUGCCAAAAUGUAUGGUCUGACUGGAGUGUUGCUUAAACCAGGACAUUUAGCUGCUAAACAGUGUAUUGCAUUCAUUCUCAACUUGUUCCUCUACAAUCUUUACAACAACUCUUCUAUAUUGCAAGCUCUAAGAAAAGAUCAAUAAUGAAAAUAUAACCUAUUUCACUAGUCAAGAUCAAGGUAACAACAGGAGCAAGUAGAAAGAUAAAACACACUUCUUUUGGAGAGUGGGGAGGAAGAGGAGCAGAGUGGAGAGCUACCUCUUGCUAAUACUUCUCUCACUCAUAGCUGGGUUAUAUCUCUAUAUCUCUGUUGAGAUGAUGCAACCUUUCCAGGCAGCCCCCCUCAUAAAUCAUAUAUGUCAUUAAAUCUUCUUCUUCCCCCCAACUCCCCAACCCCAAUUAAGAAAAUGAAACCCUCCUAAGGUUUGUAAUAAGCGGAUAAGAUGUUAAAAGGUUCCUUCAUGAGGUGCAACCUUUUGACAAUAUCUAUGCAUGGAAAAAAAUUAAUUGAUGUUCGCCUCUUAAAUCAUCCGAACACUCUAUGUCAGUGUUUCCACUGAAAAAGAGAGAAUAGGUUUUGUUGAUCCGUGAUCAUGAUCUUUUUAUCUUGAGGUAUUUAAGCUUGCUGCUGAAUGACCAACUGUUGAAGACAAAAUAAUUUUUUCUAUUAUUGCUGUUACUGUUGUCAUAAUAUGAGUUCCAUACUGUGGAAUUUUCUCCUUUUCUCUGAGAUCAAAUUUUCUAAAUGUAGGUAGGAGGAAGCAUUUUACCUGCAUCAGUUUUAUCUUUGUACUGUACAUACCUUUGUUACAGUGCACUUGCAAGUGAACCUAGGGAUUAUGAGUGCAAUGGUCUACAUAAGCACUCUAAGGCUGUUUCC